rnacentral:rRNA from 1 species
CACAGGCAGCGGAGCGUGUGGUUUAAUUCGAUGUUACACGAAGAACCUUACAGGGUUUGACAUGCAAGUGGUAGGAAGCCGAAAGGUGACCGACCCUUCGGGGAGCUUGCACAGGUGCUGCAUGGCUGUCGUCAGCUCGUGUCGUGAGAUGUUCGGUUAAGUCCGCUAACGAGCGCAACCCUCGCUGUGUGUUAUAUGUGUCACACGGGACUGCCGGUCUUAAGCCGGAGGAAGGUGGGGAUGAUGUCAAGUCAGCAUGGCCUUUAUAUCCUGGGCUACACACACGCUACAAUGGCCAACACAAUAGGUUGCUAAGCCGCGAGGUGGCGCCAAUCCAUAAAGUUGGUCUCAGUUCAGAUUGUAGGCUGCAACCCGCCUGCAUGAAGAUGGAGUUGCUAGUAACCGCAGGUCAGCUAUACUGCGGUGAAUACGUUCCCGGGGCUU